rnacentral:lncRNA from 1 species
UCAAAUUUUGUGACUGGGAUGCCGAGGAUCACAAAACAAGGUGUGAAUAACCAUACCAAUUCACUUGGUACCCUUAAUAUUAUCACCUAAUCAAUGUGCCGGUUAACCACACACGCUCCAUUGAUCUAUGACAAACAUUAAGUCACCCUUCGUGAUCCUUACUAGUCCAAGUUAGUGUGCCGGUUAACCACACACGCUCCACCAACGACUUGGUAAGGUACAAAGUGUGAAUUCCAUGGGCUAGCACCAAAUUCACAUUUUUCCUAAAGUAACUAAGAUUGGGAAUUAAAUAAAAAAAUAUUUAGUUACUUUAUAAUAAUCGAUAUACUUUUAAUGAGAAUUUAAAGUCAUUGUCGUACCCGUUCGGCUAACGACCCUCCACCGGUCAAGCAAGCGGUGGGUGAGAGUGGACACCCAUUAAGUCGCCAUUUUAUAGGCAACAACCUUAUACCCACCUUAUAGACCGGCUUCGUGAAUGAGGCCUACUAACGGUAAAACGACUUGUUCUUAUACAUAUAUAUAAUAAUUAACCAUUAAUGUUAUAAAUAGUAUAAGUGUUGAAUUUUAACUUUUAAAACUCUAAGUGUUGGAAUUAAAGUUUAUUAAAGUGUGUGAAACUUUUCCAAAUUCCAAAACUUGAGGGCAAGUUUUGAAACUAUUCAAAACUAAUUAAUUCCAUGAUUUAUGUGUUUAAAGUAGUUUUAAUCCAAAAACUCUUCAAGUUCCAUAACUUGAGGACAAGUUAUGGAAGACUUUAAACUAAUAAAAGAAUUACUUUUCUUUAUUUUAUAACUUAUGGAAUUAAUUAAGGUUACACUUUAUUUAUAUAUUUAUUAAUGAAGUGACUCUUGAACCUCCAUAACUUAAGGACAAGACUCUUCAUCUUUUGUAACCAUCCAAGACUUUUCAUUUCAUAACUUAUGAAUUAAAGGUUCAUAAAAAUGAAGACUCUUCAUUUUCAUGUAACUUAUGUGUUUUAAGUGUGUGUUAAAUAAAAGUGACCUUUGGAUAUCCAUAACUUGAGGACAAAUUAUGGACUCCAUUAAAACACAUAAAUGAUCAAGAAUUAAUUCUAAACAAUUCAGCAAAUAAUUCCUAUCAUCUUCUAAAUUCAUAAGAACAUGAACAUGAUCAUCAAAAUUUCAAGAAUUAUAUGAACACAUAAAAACAUGGAAUUUUGAUAUAUGCUAUUGUAAAUGGAUUAGAACAACCAUUACACCAACUAAAACAAGUUUUAAAACACCAAAACAGUUUAGGGUAAUGUUUCUAGUCCAUUUCCAGCAGCAAAAGUCGAAAUUCUGCAUUCUGAUCAUUCUACUCGCCGAGUGCACGAACCUACUCGCCGAGUAGGAUGAAUUUUGCCUUGAACUCGGCGAGUCCCCCCAUGGACUCGGCGAGUCCAUCAGCCAGACAGCAACAAUUUCAACUUUUUUCACUAUUUUGCAUCAAGUAUCAAACAAGCAAGCCUAGGCUCUGAUACCACUGUUGGGUUUUGAGCAAUCUAACACUUCCUAAGUGUGCAUGCAACCCUAAUAAACCUUGGAUCUAUGUUUGUCUAAAUACAUGCAAAAUAAUAAUUUUCCAAGGUUUAUAACCUAUCUAACAUGGCAUGGGGAACAUUUCAACAUAAAAGAGUUAGAAGAGAUUACAUACCUUUGUUGUGUUGGGUUCUUAGGAGUUUGAGGGCCAAGCACCAAUAGUGUGAAUGCCUCAAAUGGAAUCACAAAUCACCACAAACUCUUGGAAAACUUUGAGAGAGUGUAUACACACUUAUAAAAUCGGUCACACACAAACACACAUACUUUCUAGUUACACUAGUUACACUAGUGGCUAUUUCAUGCAACAUAAGCAUGCUUAUAUAGUGUACAUGAUUAGGGUGAAACCCUAAUAACCCAUGUCUUUUCCUUUCCAAGGAUCCAUGGGUUAAAAGCUCCAUGGAUCAUCCAUGGACUUCAAUAUAAGCCUAGCCCAUUAACAAAUGAGUGUUAGCCCACACUAUAUAAAACCAAUAGCCCAUAAUCUAAUUAGUCUUCCUUUUAAUCUCUAAAUUAAUUCAUAAUUAAUUUAAGACUAAGACUAAUUAAAUAACAUGACUUCAUAUUAAUAUAUUAUAACUUAUAAUAUAUUAAUAAACAUAUGUGUAUAACUCUCAUAAAAUUAUCCAUAAAUAGUUCGGGUGAGAUGCAACCAAAAUGGACCAAGCCGGGUCGGGUCAGGUAUAUACCAAAUAAGUUAUGGACUUAGACACCUUAUCCAACACAACCAUCCUAAACAGGAUGAACUCUAACAUAGCAAUGGCAUAACACCCAUCCUAAGGAGGAUGAAAUCUAACAUGGCAAUAGCAAAGAAACCAUCCUAAACCAAGAUGUAAAUCAUAAAGGCCCUGCCUUGGGUCCAUAAAACCUAUCAAUAUAGUGAGGAUAACUCACCUCGCAGAUGUCAAUUCGAAAGACAAACUCCAACUAUCGUAUCACUUGACACCGACUCUAACACCUAUAACCAUAGCACAAUAUACACAUAUGUCCUUUCUCUUAUGAGACACCCCAUAACCUUUUAGUAAAUUCCUAAUCAAGGUCAAAGUCCUCGGUGAAGGUCAAUAGUCCAUGUUGACCUCAACUCGCCGAGUACACUCGGCCACUACUCGAGUCCAUGGAGCACAUUCCAACUCGCCGAGUCAUCGGAGUGACUCGUCGAGUUCCUUCGAAUCCCGAUCAAUCCUUAAGGCCACCCGUCGAGUUUCCUCCUUGCAACUCGACGGGCACACACGCAACCAUAUCCUUGGUUAAACUCAUCCGACUCGCUGAGUUGUUCUUUAACUAAUCAAGUUUCAUGGCCAUCUUCAUCUAACUCACCGAGUUGUUCAAACAACUCAUCGAGUUCACAGCUUCCUUUAUCUGAAUCACCGAGUUGUUCAUCCAACUCGUCGAGACCAAUGCACAUCUUCAUAUGACUCGCCGAGUCGGCUGCGCGGCUCACCAAAUCCUUACAAACAUUUUAACAUGAAAACGUCUUUAAGCCAUGGCAAGGCCCCAAAUUGCAGAUCCAACUUCCUUAGGCUUGUUUAUCACGUAAACUUGCAAAAUUUAUGUGCAUGCAUUUCUUCAUAAGCUCCUAAUGCCAAAACCAAACUUUUAAUGGGUGUUCAUGGACCAAGGGAACCUUAAUCUUGCCUAAAGUUGGAACUUUAUGCUUGAAUGCUCCAAAGAGGGUCCAGAUCUGAAGUUACUACUUUAGAUCUAGCCGAUAGAUUGCCAUACCAACUUGAUACCCUCUUAAAACCCUUAAACUCAUUAAAAGAUAAGGUCUAGACUGAAAUAACCGAGGGUAAUGGUCUAAUACCUUCCCAAGAGAUGUCCACAGCAGAAGAAUUCGGAUCUCUUCCUAGCUCCUUUCCCUAAACACUUGUUUUCCGCAAAAUUUUACACCAAAAUCUUCUCUCAAAGCUUCAACACACAAGGCACACACACACAUGAGUUAGAGAUGCAAAGGGGGCUGCCAAGGAACUGAAAGAGGCUUGAGCUUCUUUAAGUAGGGGUGCAACCCCGGGAAUUAGGGCUUCACUUUCCAGCUCCUACUCGUCGUGUCCCACAAGGACUCGCCGAGUAAAUCACUUAACUCGCUAUCCAACCCGCUGCUACUCGACGAGUAGGGCAACCAACUCAUCGAGUAGGGCCAAAACCCAAAAAUAUUAUAUUUAAAGUACUACCUGAGAGUCGGGGCGCUACAUUGUAGUAGUGGCAUGAUUUUUCUUCAUCCCCAAUUUAACAGUUUGCAACAAAUAAUAGAGCUCAUUCAAUGUCGUAUAUGUAUUAUUCAAAUGAUAAGUAAGAAUAAACUAAUAAUAACUAGGAGGCAAUGAGUUCUAGACCAUAUCAAUAGCCAGCUGAUCAUCAAACAUCACAUUUAGCCUGUGGAGUUCCUCCAUGUACCUUUCCAUCUUUUGUUUGCGAGGGUAAACUGAUUCUCUUUCCUUGAGCUUGCAUGCCAUAAGAGAUUUGACCACUUCAUAAUGCUCUUGUCUCGCCUUCUUGUAGAACUUUCUGGCAAGGUCGAGAGCCAUCUCGUAUGGCCAAUAGUCCUCAUAGAACUUGGCCAGCUCAAGUGCCAUAGUAGCCACCAUGAUGCAAGCAACCUUAGUGUUAUCAUCAGAUUGUUUGUUGUAGGAAACGGUUUCCUUAGGAGCAACGGUAGAGUGUUCGAUAUUGAAAAGGGGUUUUUCGAGGAUAUAUUGUUUGCCCUCAUAUUGAAGAUUCAUCUUCAAGUUCGUCAUCCAAUCCAUGUAGUUGGGACUAGUGAGCAUCUCUUUUGACAAAAUUGAGGGUAGAGAGAAGUUUAAGUUGGAGGAGCCGACUUAAGUAGUAGCAAGUUCAUCGUUUCCAGACAUCUAUAUAAAAAGACAUAGUUUUUAGUUACUGAUAUAUAUCCUUAAUAUUUUAACCAAUAAUAAAUAUUCAAGUCUAAGAUCCAAAAUACAAUUGACAACAAAGAAAAGUGAUGUCGUAAUAUAAUUGUGAAUUUAUCAUGAUAGGUAAUCCAAAUUUACCAACUUCAAUCUAGCAUGAAAGUCCUAUAUCGUUUGAAUUCAUUGAAUCUUAUCAAUGACAUGUUUAAUCUCAAAUUAUGCUCUUCAAAUUUGUAACUCCAAUGCCGAGGAUCUCAAAUAAGAUGUGUUUAACCAUGCAAACCUGCCUGACAACCACGAUGUCAUUUAUCAUCUCAGAUUAAUGUGAUGGUAAACCACAAACAAUGAUAAUUUUCAAUUUGUCCAUCACUCAACUUUAACAUAAUCACAAUUUUAAUAGGUUAUGACCUAUCAAAUCCGUUCAGCUAACGACUCUCCAAAAUACAAGGGAGCGGUGGGUUAGAGUGGACACCCAAUGACGGUCAUUUUAUAGGCCGCUUCAUUAUACCCACCUUAUAGUAUGGCUUCGUGAAUGAGGCGUACUAGCGACUUGACUGACUUGUCUUAUACAUAUAAUAUAUUAAACUUUUAAUCAUAUAUAUAGUGUAAUGUGUAUUUUAAAACUUUUCAAAAUACUUGGUUUAAAAUAAAUCUUACGAAUUAAACAAUUAAUAAUAAUUAAUUUUAAACCAAAUAAUGAUUUAAUCUUUUAUCUUAAUUAAACAAUUAAUUAAACAAAUUUAAAUCAUAUUACUUACUAAUUAACAAUUAAUUAAAUAACUUAAAUUUAAACACAUGGAUUAAAUAAUUAUUUACCAAUUAAACAAUUCAUUAACUAAUUCAAAUUUAAUCCUAAACCCUUAUCUUUCUAAUUUUCAAAAAAGGGUAGGGUUUAUCAGGUUUUUAAUCAUUAAAAUAUUCAACCAUAUUAAAAUAAUAUUUCAGUAAAGUAGAAAAUCCUAGAGAUAUAUACACAAUUUCGAAAAUAAGGGGAUGGUGGCUAGAGUUUCAACCCUAGCCAAGUUGAAAUCAUAUUACUUACCAAUUAACAAUUAAGUAAAUAAUUUAAAUUUAAACACAUGGAAUAAAUAAUUAUUUACCAAUUAAACAAUUCAUUAACUAAUUUAAAUUUAAUCCUAAACCCUUAUCUUUCUAAUUUUCGAAAAAGGGUAGGGUUUAUCAGGUUUAAUUAUUAAAAUUUUAAAUCAUAUUAAAAUAAUAUUUAAGUAAAGUAGAAAAUCCUAGAGAUAUAUACACAAUUUCGAAAAUAAGGGGAUGGUGGCUAGAGUUUUAAAAAACCCUAGCCAAGUUGAAAUUUAUGCCUUUAGGGUUUAAUUUCCAUAAACCCUAAUUUUGAUCAAUUCAUAUUGGUGCAUAAUCAAAUAGAAAACUAUGUCUCUGAUACCGCUGAUGGAUUUUCUAGGUUAUAGAAAAGUACAUGUGGCGGCAACACUCUUAAACCCUUAUGUUCACAUGCAACCUAGAAAGGAUCUAUGAUUUCUCUAUUGAUAGAAACUAACUAUGAACAACAAGAAACCAUAGGAGAGAGCCCAUGAAAUCAAAAUUCAUAUUUAGAUUAGGGUUAAGUACCUUAUGAUUAUUAUUGAAAAUAAUCAAAGUAGAAUCCUUCUUCAAGACCUUGAAAAGCUAGCACCAAAGUUAUGGUACCUCAAAUGGCUUGUACCUAAAACGAUAAUAGCUAGAAGAGUUGAGGAUAGACGAGGCUUGAGCAAAAUUCUGGCUCUUGUAAGAGUGGAUGGAGAGGACGAAAAUGGGAUCCAUAAGGAUUCUAUUUAUAGGCUGUAGGAAAACGCUAGAAACCCGAAUUUGAAUCAAAUAAUAAUAUUUCAAAAUUCAAAUCGCUUAUCUAGAUCCUAAUCUAAAGGUAGCUUCCAGAAACCCUUUCUAUGGUUCUUCCAAAACCAUCUCUAUGGGAAAUGUUUUGGAAGCCUUCCUUUGUUCAACUUUUGAACAAUAACAACCCAAGUACGUGCACUUUUAAUUAGAGAUGGCAAUCGUGUCGGAUUCGUGUCGUGUUGAAACACUAAACGGGUUAAAAGUGUUUGACCCUAACCCAACCCAUUUAAUUAACGUGUCGUGUCGUGUCAACCCGUUUAUUUUCGCGUCGAGUUCGUGUUGGGUUUCGGGUUAGGGCUAUAUUGAAAUAUGUUGUGUAAUGUGAGGUUAAAAGAUUGAGCAUGUUAAAAGAGUAGGAGUUGGGUAGGCGGAAAGGAAAAACUAAUAGUUUGGAGGCAGAAUAGAUGGAUUCAUAGCAAGUUCAGAUGACAAAAUUAAAAGAGUGGGAGUUGGGAAGGCGGAUGACAAGGUCAUGAGGAUGUGAGAGUGGUGAAAGAGACUGAGUAGUUUGGGAAAUAAUUGAAAAACUGAAAUGAAGUCUUGAUCUAGACGGCUAAGUCAUUUCAACAUUGCAAAACAAUUUGAGUUCAAAUUCUCAACGCUAACCUUACCCAUUUAAUUCCUGUGUCCUAUCGUGUCAACCCAUUAAUUUAAACGAGUUGAAAUAUCUUACCCAAACCCUUUUAAUUCAUGUCGGGUUUCGUGUCGUGUCAAUUUUUGUCACCUCUACUUUUAAUUAAUUCGAUUAAUCCUGAAAUUAAUUCCAAUUAAUUUCUUAUUAAUUCCAAAUUAACUAUUAUUAUUUCAAAUAAAUAUAUUAAUCAUAUAAUAUAUUAAUAAAUAAUUUUUACAAUAUGUUAAAAAAUCAACAUCUUCCUCUAAAAGUCAUUAUAUCAAAAUACUAGUUUCGAGGGCAAACCAAAAAGGACUUUGCUUCUAAUUCAAGAAUNUUUUUUAUUCAAUAAUUGGUCUCAUGUAUUUAAUCACACGUGAUUAUAUAUAUUUAAUCAUAUAUGAUUAAACCAUGUUAUUCACAUAUGGCUAAAUUUAUCAUAUGUGAUUACAAUUUUUUAUCCACAUGUAAAUAUACACAUAACAAAUGCUUUUAUUUUUUAAUAAUUUUUCUUAUUUUAUGUGUUUAAUCACAUGUGAUUAUAUAUAUAUAUAUAUAUAUAUAAUCAUAUAUGGUUAUACUUCUUUUGUAACAUGCAAUCCAGGUAUAAAAUCAUUUUUAUAUACUUUGACUUUUAAUAGGGAGACCACGUCGUUGUGCAGCGUUACCUUGACGUUGGGGAACGCUUUGGAUUCACCAAAUUUUAAUGACCCGCCACAGCGUUGUCAUGAGGAACAACGACGUGGUAGGAGUUUGAAAACCCUAAUUUUGUGUCUUAGACCCUAUAUAAGGAACAUUAAGCUUAGGGUUUCAACCUACAUCUUUCUCCCAACCUCAGAAACCCUAACCAAAGCCUCCAUUAAAUUUAUGAGCUCAUUCUUGCUUCUUUUCAAUGAUUUUAGAAGGAGAAGGAAGCUUUUUGUGAGGUGGUUACUUGGCAAGCAUUAUUUCAUCAGCUAAGCUUAUCUCUUGGACCUUGGUGAGUGCCUAAGACUCAACCUUUUAUUGCCAUGUUGCUAGAUUUCUUGUCUUUGUCCGCUUUUUAGAUGAUUUAGAUGGACUUAAGUAAUAGGAUCUCAAAAAGUUUGCAACUUUAUGAAUAUCUAUGUCAAAUUGAGCAAUUAGUGUCUUAGAUCUGGAUUAUAAUCACGUUUUGGUGCUAAGCAUGGGAUUUUAUUCAUUAAAACCUAUUUUUACCUACAAUGGAAAAGGCGUGUAGUGGACAUGCAAGUCUGUAAAGCAACGAUUUUUAAGGUUAAUUUGGAGUGUGAAACCAUUCUGGACACUUUAGAUGUGAAACUCUAAGGAUUUGGUGCUUAAUGAGAAUCCUGAUGUAUUAAGUCUCCAUUAGUGGUUGGGUUUGGGAUUUUGGAAACUUCACCCAUCAAGACCAUGAGAAGGACCAGUGUCACACCCCCAAACCAGAAUGGCGGAAACAUUCAGGGGUGGAUGACUUCACGUAGUACCAUAACAAUUGAAUAUUGUAAAGAAAGUAACACAACCAUCAUAUAUAGAAUAAAAACGUACAUUGUUGCAUUAUACAUGAUUCCAAAAGAAUAUUACAAUAUGAUGAUGUAAAAUGUUUAAUAAUAAACGCCCUUAGCAUUCCUUCUUCAAAAGCUGGUAGUUACCUGUAUUACUGAUUCCCUGAGAAAUACAAGUGGUUUCGAAAAAGUGUCAACAAUAAAGUUGGUGAGUUCAUAAGUGUUUUGUAUUGAAAAUAAUGUCUUUAUGGAAGAAAAUCGAUGAACGUGGUUUUCAAAAAAUCUAAUAUUUUCCCUAUAUAGUCUGAAAAGUUCCCAAAGUUGGAGGGCGUUAGUAUCUUUCGUAAUUGAACGCUAAAGAUAAGUUUGUACUCAAAAUUAUGUAAAUACUGAAUGCAUGUAUGAAUCUCAUAAAUCAAGCUUGUUUUUAUACUUUCGUGUGAGUCUUAUAACCAUACUAUUGACACAGACUGCCUGUAACAACAUUCUUCAGGUGUUGUAUUGUUAUGACAUUUGUCACCACAGACCUGCCGGUCUAACUGUAGCUAACAGUUUAGGUGUGGGGUUAUCAAUCCUGUAUAGAUCUAUACACAAGUAUCACGCUCUCCCUCCAAGAGAUUAUGGCUUAUAAUACAGGACUUGAAAUGCAUACAUAAAAGUACGUUGAAGUUUGAAUAUCUCACAUCACUUGGUAUAAAUAGAUUUACGAUAACUUUGCGUACUACCGGAGUACGCUAGACGUACUUCGGUUACGCUGGGCGUAAGUUUGCGUCAUGGCUUACAAUUCGAGUCUAGCUAGGCGUAGAGCUGCAGCCGAUGGGACUCGAACCUGCACCUGAGUACGCUGGGCGUACUCCUGAAUUACGUUGGGCGUAAUCCUGGCUUCCAUCUUCUAAAUUCCGUAACUUUCGCGUACGGGCUCCGUUUUUCGCAUUCUUUAUAUCCACGCGUAGGUGGGAUUAUGCUCUACAACUUUCAUUUAGACUCCGUCGGCUAGUUUUGACUUUAUUUUUAAUGCUAUGUUUUUAAUAGGCCGGGACUGCUAAAGUCCGUUAAAAAGUCAUAUUUUCUUUAUCCGACGUCGGUUCUCGUUUGUCUUUUUAUCAUAUUGCUCCUAUUGUGGAGACCUUUAACUUUCGUUUAGGUUGUGUUAGCUAAAUAUCGCUCGAUCUUUAAUUCGAGUUUUUAGCUCUCUACUACUGUUACGAAACUUAGAAAAUUCGUAACUUGUUCAUACAAGGUCCAAUUUGGGCGAUCUUUUUAUGUACGUUUACAGUUUAACGAACUCUACAACUUAUGUUUAGAUACUUAAGGCUAAAAUAUAUUUUAUUGGAAUUUCACUUUUUAUGUUAAAUAGUGUUUUACCGGGUGUGUCGUAAAUAUUUGAGUGGUUAUAGUUUCUUCAAUAUAACCUGAUUUCGAAUGUUUUUUUAUGUUUUUGGAAACCUUGGCACGAUAUCUAACAUUUGAUGCAUCCCAAUUUAGAUAUUUUGAGCACUCUUUUUUUUGAGGUUAAUUUCGUUGAUUCCAAAUAGUUUUCGUUGUAUUUGACUUUUGAGUAUUACAUUGUUUUUGGAAAAAUAUAGGGUUGUCACAUCAUCCCCCCGUUAGAGGAAUUUCAUCCCGAAAUUUAAUCUAAGACUGAGUUUUCAGGUUAGGGAAGAGAUACGGGUACUUUUAUUUCAUCUGAUCCUCGCGUUCCCAGGUGUAUUCAGGUCCUCGCUUGGCCCUCAAUCGGACCUUUACAAUAGGUAUGCGGCUUUGUUUAGUCCUUUUAAUUUCCCGAUCCAUGAUCUCUACUGGUUCUUCUACGAAUUGGAGAUUCUCAUUUAUUGCAAUUUCGUCCAGAGGGAUGACAAGGGUCUCAUCGGACAAGCACUUCUUUAGGUUUGAUACGUGAAAGGUAGAGUGUACGUUGUGGAGUUCCUGGGGUAAUUGAAGUUUGUAAGCCACCGGACCGGUCCUGGCAAGGAUCUCGAAUGGUCCAAUGUAUCUUGGGUUCAGUUUCCCACGCUUUCCGAAACGUAUUAACCCUUUCCAGGGCGAGACUUUUAGUAGGACACGGUCUCCAACCUGGAAUUCCAAGGGUUUCCGUCUUUUAUCCGCAUAACUCUUUUGUCUGUCCCUUGAUGCUUUCGGUCAUUCCAGGAUCUGAAAAAUCUUCUCCGUAUUUUCCCUUAUGAUUUCUGGCCCAGUGAGCGUGUUGUCUGUUGCUUGUCUUUUUUCUAGUUGUGUGUCCCCCACUUCAGCCCAUCACAGAGGUGAUAUGCAUUUACGGCCGUAGAGGGCUUCAAACGGGGCAACCUUGAUGCUAGUGUGGUAGCUAUUGUUGUACGAAAACUCGACCAAGGGUAGGUGGGUGUCCCAUGCUUUGCCAAAAUCGAUUACGCAAGAUCUCAACAUAUCCUCUAGGGUUUGUAUGGUUCUCUCACUCUGGCCGUCAGUUUGUGGGUGAUAAGCAGUACUCAUGUCUAGUCUUGUUCCUAGAGAUUUUUGCAGCGACUGCCAAAACCUUGAGGUGAAUCUACUAUCUCGGUCUGAGAUAAUGGAUAUGGGCACACCAUGCAGUCGUACGAUCUCUCUGAGGUAUGUUCUAGUUAGUUUCUCUAAUUUAUCCGUUUCUUUGAUUGGUAGGAAGUGCGCUGAUUUAGUUAACCUGUUGACGAUCACCCAAAUGAUGUUGAGUCCGCUUGCUGUCUUGGGUAAUUUGGUUAUGAAAUCCAUGGUUAUCUGCUCCUACUUCCAUUCGGGUAUUUCUGGUUAUUGCAACAAUCCCGAGGGCUUUUGGUAUUCAACCUUGACUUUGGCACACGUCAGACAUUUGCUUACGUAGGUAGCAAUGUCGGCUUUCAUGUUCGGCCACCAGUACAGUUUCUUGAGGUCGAGAUACAUCUUAUCCGAGCCAGGAUGUAUGGAGUAUCAUGUCUUAUGGGCUUCGUUCAUAAUGACUUCUUUGAAUCCGCCAAACUUCGGUGUCCAGAUCCGAUCCAUGAAGUAACGAACUCCAUCAUUCUUGACUUCAAGCUUCUUAUCCAUUCCCCUUAAUGCUUCCCCUGUCACAUUUUCAGAUUUUGAGGCUUCUACUUGGGCUUCCCUGAUUUGUGUGGACAUGUGUGAAUGGAUUAUCAUAGUUAGAGACUUCACUCUACGGCCCGAGUAUUCCUUCCGGCUGAGUGCAUCGGCCACCACGUUAGCCUUUCCGGGAUGAUAUCGAAUUUUGCAUUCGUAAUCGUUUAGUAGUUCUACCCACCGUCUUUGUCUCAUGUUGAGUUCUUUCUGGUUGAGGAUAUGCUGGAGGCUCUUAUGAUCGGUGAAGACUGUACAUUUCGUGCCGUAGAGAUAGUGUCUCCAUAUCUUUAGAGCGAAAACGACUGCUCCUAACNUGACUGCUCCUAGCUCGAGAUCGUGCGUCGUGUAGUUUACUUCGUGCGUCUUUAGUUGUCUUGAGGCGUAGGCGAUGACCUUCCCUCGUUGCAUCAGGACACACCCAAGUCCUUGGUUUGACGCAUCACAAUAGACCACGAAGUCUUCUAUUCCUUCUGGUAAGGUUAGAAUGGCGCACUACAUAAGGCUCGCUUUAGUGUUUGAAACGCGAUGUCAUGUUUUUCUUUCCAGUCGAAGGUCAUGCUCUUCUGAGUUAGGGUGGUAAGUGGCUUAGCAAUCUUCGAAAAGUUUUGUAUGAACCUUCGGUAAUAUCCGGCGAGUCCCAAAAAAUUUUGUUGGGGUUCUUGGGAUCGUCCAAUUCUCUAUUGCCUUGAUCUUAGAAGGAUCCACAUGUACCCCUUCUUUGCUUACUACGUGACCUAGGAAAUCUACUUCCCGAAUCCAAUACUCACACUUUGAAAAUUGUGCGUAUAGCUUUUCUACCCUCAAUGUUUCCAAGACUUGGUAGAGGUGUUGGCUGUGUUCUUUCGUGCUUUUUGAAUAGAUGAGUAUGUCAUCUAUGAACACGAUCACGAAUAUAUCUAGGAAGGGACGACAUACCCGGUUCAUCAAGUCCAUGAAUACUGCUGGUGCAUUUGUCAAACCAAAGGGCAUAACUACAAAGUCAUAGUGACCGUAGCGUGUUCGGAAUGCCGUUUUGGGGAUGUCUCCUUCUAGCACUCGUAGUUGGUGAUAACCGGAUCUUAGAUCGAUUUUUGAGAAGUAGCUUGCUCCCUGUAGUUGAUCGAACAAGUCGCCUAUGUGCGGCAGGGGAUAUCGGUUCUUGAUCGUGAGUUUGUUCAGUUCCCAAUAAUCGAUGCACAUGUGAAAGGAUCCGUCCUUCUUCUUCACGAAUAUGACCGGUGCUCCCCAUGGUGAGAAGCUCGGUCUGAUGAUGCCCUUGCUCAGCAGCUCGUUUAAUUGACUGGACAGUUCCUGCAUCUCGGCUGGGGCUAGACGGUAAGGCGACUUUGCUACUGGAGUAGCUCCGGGGAUUAUGUCGAUUCUGAACUCGACUUGGCGUUCUAGUGGGAUUCCUGGGAGAUCUUAUGGGAUGAUGUCUGGGAAGUUGCAGACUUCCGGAAUGUCUUUAAAGUUCUUCGGUUCUGGUUUCUGGUCUACUACGUGGUCUAGAAAGGCAUGAUAUUCUUUGCGAAGAUAUUUUCAUGCUUUAACACAGGAGAUGAUUUGUAAAUUUGUACUAGGUUUGUCACCAUAAAUGACAAGAGUUUCACCGUUUGGCAGAUUGAGGCGAACGACCCUUUCGUGAAAAAGUAUAUCGGCAUGGUGAAGACUUAACCAAUCCAUACCGAUGAUGACAUCAAAACUUCUUAUCGAAAUGCGCAUAAGAUUGAUUUGAAAUAAGUGCUCGUUUAAAUUUAAUGUGCACCCUACGUACAUAUCGCUUGCGCUUUCUGUUUUACUGUUUUCCAUUUCUACAGUGAAUAUUUUAUUGAGUGGUUGGGGUUUUUGAUUAAGUAGGUGUUUGAAUUUAUGACUCACAAAACUUCUCUCCGCACCGCAUUCAAAGAGUAUGCAUGCAUAAAUGUUGUCGAGGAGAAACGUACCCGUAACCACCAUGGGGUCAGCUAUUGUUUCAUUCUGUCCUAUCGCCAGCACUCUCCCAACACCGCCAGUAUUCUUUGUCUUGGGGCAAUCCCUCUUGAAGUGCCCAGUUUCUCCACACCCAUAACAUGCCUGGCUUAUUCCAGUACCAGGAACUUCAGUGAUUGGUCGUGCCGGUGCCUUACAGAAAUGGGCAGUGUGCCCAUUCCUGUCGCAGUUUUUACAGUGCAUCUCGCGGCAAUUACCGUGGUGAUGAUAGUUGCAUUUGUUGCACUUUGGCAGGUUCCCAGCAUAUUGUUUCGUUGGCGUAGGGGUAGCAGGAGUUGUAGUGGGAGCAGUGGCGGCAUGAACCGUAACCAUUUGUUUCUUUGAAGAUUCUUGCGAAGUUUGCCCCUUUCUCUUGUUCCUGAACUUCUUCUUGCUAUUGUUGUUGGCAUUGUUAUCGUUGUUGUCGUUCCCUUUGGUUGGUUCAACGGCGAUAGCCGUGACACCUUGACAGACACCAUGAUCAACGAGAGAUGGCGCCAAUUCCUUGGCGCUGUCGAAUGUCAUGGGUUUGGAGGCUAACACACUCCCUCGAAGUUGGGGUGAUAGUCCCAAAAUAUACCUUUCCACCUUUUGGCUUUCCAGGAUCAACAUUCAUGGGCAAAGUAUUAUUAAGUCACUGAAUUUGUUGGUAUAGCCCACGAUGUUCGAGCCUACCAUCGUAAGGCCCUACAGUUCAUGUUCAAGCUUCUGAAUCUCGCCUCUUGGGCAGUACUCUCGUAGGAGCAUUCGUUUCAGUUUUUCCCAACCCAUGGAGUUCGCCACCACUAGGGUUAGUGCCUUGACAUGGCCGUUCCACCACGUUAGGGCUCGUUUGGAGAAAGUAAAAGAGGCAAACUUUACUUUGCUUUUUUCAGGGCAAGCGCAAAUUUCGAAUACAUCCUCCGUUUUCUCUAUCCAUUGGGAUAGAUCGAUCACUCCCCCAGUCCCAUAAAAGGGAAUAGGUUUUCCGUUGGUGAAGUCUUUGUAAGUACAUACUCCUGAACGACCUUGGCUUUGGCCAUUUGUAAAGCUGUUUAUCCCUCCUCCUGACCCGUUGUUACUCAUUUGAGCCAUCGUUGCAGUUACAGCGGCUGUUACAGCAGUUUGGAACAUAGUGGCAUCCAUAAUUGGAGGAGGUGGUGGAGGUGGUGUUGGAGCUGAGUUUCUGCGUGAUGAUCUACGAGGAGGCAUGUUCUGAUAGAGAAAUAAUAAUAAAGACUAUAAGUUUCUAAUGAUUUGACAAUCGUGCACUAGAUGGUUAGUUGUAUCUUGUAAUUUGUUUUGACUUUAAUUUAUGGUUUCAAAGUAGAUAUAGCAAUUUAUAAGUGUCAAGAGGUAUGUAAAGAAGUACUUCAUAUUUAUAUAUAUGUCACACAUACGGUGCGUUACAUUAUGCUUCAUGUUUAGGAAAAUUUGACCUAUCUAGAGGUCUCCGACUACAAGUUCAAAGGAAAUAAGAAAACUUUAUCCGAGGUCCUAUCCUAUAUCAAAAUUGUUGGAGUUGGGCAAGUUCUACUUGCGGCGUGUUGUGCGUUUGGAGCUAGACUCGGCAUCCGACUGCUUGACUCCCAUUAGGCACCUUUCAAGAACUUCUUAUUGUUCUUUCAUCUCUCUUAUUUCUGCCAGUGAUGUCACUAUUUGGUUUUGAAGCGUUCCUGUGUGGAGUUGGGUACUUUCGUGUAGUCCGUCCAGACGACGGAUUUCUACGGCGUUACCCUGUGUAGCAUCAUUGACCUCACGGAUUCUGGCCGCUUGUAUGUCUGACUGGUAGUUCUGGGUGGCUAUUGUGCCCACAUGGACGGGAAGCGCUCGAUCGGAUGGGCCUCCUCCACUUACAUUGUAAAAAUACCGACACAUGCCGAAGGGAGGGCGUACACCUAGUUGACGGCUCCAAUGGUAGAGGUGGCUUCCCCAAAUGGGAAUGGGACCUGGGUAUUAUGGUCUGACUUCGGGAGGACGCGGAACAGGAGGGUUGAUUACAUUCGGCUCGGAGUCUGUUCUAUCAGUAUCUUCCUCUUCCUCCUCGACCUCCUCGUCGGCUUCGAAUUCCUCCCCGACUUCCUCUUCGACUUCGAAUUCUUCUUCGACUUCCUCUUCGAUUUCCUCCGGAUCUUCUUCUAUCCAUCCACCGUUACCUUGGUUUGGGUAGUAGGGAUCUCCCGGUAAAUGGAAUCCAGACAUUUGUCUGUACUAGGAUAUAGGUAUGAAAAUUUUAUAAGAAAAGAAGUUUCUAUUUAACGGCAUCCUAAGCUUAAUUACAUCUUAUGGUGUGCAAGUUUUUCCUUGUCCUAUUAUUUAAAAACAAUUCUCCUAUAGUAUUUCAAAUUUGCGAGUCUAAAAUUUUAUUUGGUAAGUUUUUGACUUGUUGUCCACUAAGACCAUUCCUCGACGUACGUUGGUCAAAUCCAGGAUAAAUAUAGUUGAUCAGGCUAUAUUUAUUCUUGAUUUGAUUAUAUACCUCGAGGCCCAAUCGUAGUGUCGCAACUUGUCUUAAUACUUUUUAGAAAAAAAAAUUAUGAUACGAGACCGAUACAUGCGAGUAAAAAUGUAUAUUUUUAAAAGAAAUAUUUUGUUUAUGAAAACGUUUUGUCAAAGGGUUUUUGGUCCCCAUUGCAUUUAUAGUUUGUAUAUCCUAUGUGGUUCGAUAUACUUAGUUCACAAUAAAUAAUGCUCUGGUACCAAUCUGUCACACCCCCAAACCAGAAUGGCGGAAACAUUCGGGGGUGGAUGACUUCACGUAGUACCAUAACAAUUGAAUAUUGUAAAGAAAGUAACACAACCAUCAUAUAUAUAAUAAAAACAUACAUUGUUGCGUUAUACAUGAUUCCAAAAGAAUAUUACAAUAUGAUGAUGUAAAAUGUUUAAUAAUAAACGCCCUUAGCGUUCCUUCUUCAAAUGCUGGUAGUUACCUGUAUUACUGAUUCCCUGAGAAAUACAAGUGGUUUCGAAAAAGUGUCGACAAUAAAGUUGGUGAGUUCAUAAGUGUUUCGUAUUGAAAAGAAUGUCUUUAUCGAAGAAAAUCGAUGAACGUGGUUUUCAAAAACUCCAAUAUUUUCCCUAUAUAGUUUGAAAAGUUCCCAAAGUUGGAGGGCGUUAGUAUCUUUCGUAAUUGAACGAUAAAGAUAAGUUUGUACUCAAAAUAAUGUAAAUACUGAAUGCAUGUAUGAAUCUCGUAAAUCAAGCUUGUUUUUAUACUUUCGUGUGAGUCUUAUAACCAUACUAUUAACACAGACGGCCUGUAACAACAUUCUUCAGGUGUUGUAUUGUUAUGACAUUUGUCACCCCAGACCUGCCGGUCUAACUGUAGCUAACAGUUUAGGUGUGGGGUUGUCAAUCCCGUAUAGAUCUAUACAAAAGUAUCACGCUCUCCCUCCAAGAGAUUAUGGAUUAUAAUACAGGACUUGAAAUGCAUACAUAAAAGUACUUUGAAGUUUGAAUAUCUCACAUCACUUAGUAUAAAUAGAUUUACGAUAAGAAGGUAUUUAUUUCACUUUAGAAGAAAGUAUUUUGUUUUUCAAGACAUAUACGUAAGAAUGUAUGAAUAACUCGCAAACUAUACCCAUUAUAGUUUUUUAGAAACUAUGUUCUAUUUGGUGAAAAUAACUUGGUGAUAUACUAAACUUUAUACGUAAAUUUUAUAAAGAUGUUGGUAUUGAAUAAUAAUAAGAUAGAUGUUGCAUUUAUAUAAAAUGAUACCUUUUCUUGUAUCGUACUUGUAUUUUCCGCCCUAAAACAUGAAAAGACGUGAAAAGUAGGGGUAUGAACUCACUUGUUCGGUUUGAAGAGAGUGGGACUAGAGUCAAGCAGAACUUCAACCGUAGAAAGCUGCGUCUUCGAGCUUCUCAGGGAUGUCGGUAGCGUAGAAACUUCGUCGGGGGCUCGGGUGUGGAAAUCGAGGGUGUCGGGACGGCCUCUGGUGCUUGUAAGUGUGUGAGAGUAAGUGUGAAUUUGGGAAAUAUGUGCUAAAAUCCGGAGCUUAUGCCUUCUAUUUAGAGGGCUGAAAAUGCGAGUACGUUGGGCGUACUACUGGGGUACGCUGGUCGUACGCGUUAUGCUGGGCGUACUCCUGGAUUACGUUGGGCGUAAUCCGUAACUUUCGCGUACGGGCUCCUUUUUUCGCGUUAUUCAUAUCCACACGUAGGUGGGCUUAUGCUCUACAAUUUUCAUUUAGACUCCGUCGGCUAGUUUUGACUUUAUUUUUAAUGUUAUGUUUUUAAUAGGCCGGGACUGCUAAAGUCCGUUAAAAAUUCAUAGUUUCUUUAUCCGACGUCGGUUUUUGUUUGUCUAUUUAUCAUCUUGCUCCUAUUAUGGAGACCUUCAACUUUCGUUUAGGUUGCGUUAUCUAAAUAUCGCUCGAUCUUCAAUUCGAGUUUUUAGCUCUCUACUACUGUUACGAAACUUAGAAAAUUCGUAACUUCUUCAUAUAAGGUCCAAUUUGGGCGAUCUUUUUAUGUGCGUUUACAGUUUAACGAACUCUACAAUUUUUUUUAGAUACUUAAGGCUAAAAUACAUUUUAUUGGAAUUUCACUUUUUACGUUAAAUAGUGUUUGACCGGGUGUCUCGUAAAUAGUUGAGUGGUUAUAGUUUCUUCAGUAUAACCCGAUUUCGAAUGUUCUUUAUGUUUUUGGAAACCUUGGCACGAUAUCUAACAUUUGAUGCAUCCCAAUUUAGAUAUUUUGAACACUCUAUUUUUGAGGUUAAUUUCGUUGAUUCCAAAUAGUUUUCGUUGUAUUUGACUUUUGAGUGUUACAUUGCUUUUGGAAAAAUAUAGGGUUGUCACAACCAGAGCCUUAGAGUUUUUUUAGUUGAUGGAAAAGGACUUAAUGGUUUAAUUUCUCCAGACGUAUCACCAUAACAUGGUGGAGGUCAUCACGACAUGGUAACUUGGUCAAGACCUACCUCUUUUGGCGAUUUGCAACCAUGACGUGGCAAAGGGGGCCAUAACGUGGCGACUAGCUUGGUUGACUUUUAACUUUCGACUUUGACCUAGAUUUUAACCCGACAUAUAAUAGAGGAACGUGUUGUUUCAUUUUCUUAUCGGGUUGAAAUACACCCUAGGGCGGGGCCCACUAUUAUAUGUCCGGUUAAAAUACACUCUAGGGCGGGGCUGUGACAACCGUCAAUUUUGAUCAAACAAAGUCAACAAAAGUCAACCAGGUCAACUCAAUUCGUAUUAGAAUUUUAGGAGAAAUAUGAUAUUCCCUAAUAUUUCUAAUGUACUAUUGACAAGUUAUAAUGCAAUGUACUGUUGGGUUUUGAGCAUUCUAACACUCCUAUGGUGUACAUGCAACCCUAUAAACCUUGGAUCUAUGUUUUCUCUAUUAUACAUGAUAAUAAGAACUUUCCAAGGCUUUAAUCCUAACCAACAUAGUAUGAGGCAACUAUACUAAAAAGACUAGUUAGAUGACAUACCUUUUGUUGUAGCUUGAUGUCUUAAAGCUUUAAAAGCUUAGCCCCAAUAGUGUGGAAGUCUCAAGUGGAAUCUCAAAUCACAAAAACACCUUGGAAGACUUUGAGAAUAAGAAUACUUUGGUUGUCUUUAGUGAAAUCGGCUAGCCCUCUUAGUGUACCACACUAGUGUUCAUUUCACCAACCUAGGACAUAUUUAUAUAGUGUGGAGACUAGGGUUAAACCCAUGACCUUUCUUUUUCUUUUUAUCUUUGUUACUGACCAAAGCUUCAUUACCCUUCGGUUUAGCAGCUGGUUUUGAGCUAAAAGGAGGAGGUUGCUUUGACUCUUUCUCUCCCCCUUGUUUCGGUUGGACCCCAGACACCGGAACACCCUCGAUACGGCUGAGAACGUCCAGUGCUGGUCUGAGCUUGUCUGCCAAAUGCCUUCUGACAGUGAUAGCGCUAAGCGGAUCAUUAGCCUCAAUAAGAUGAAGAAGGAUGGAGUGAGCAUCUGCAUCAGAACUCCGAAUGACCUCCCGUUCUGACUUUAGAUCAUCAAUCUCAGCAUUAGCAGUACGCAGCUUAUGUGUUUGCAAUUUAAGCUGGGCUGUAUGUCUAUCGAGCUCAUCCAUAAUCCGAUUUUCCAUAGCUAAGUCUGCUUCUAGUUGAGUUAAGCGUUCGUUGACAUUAGCAUGGAGCUUCUAGGCAUGGAGUGCCGCUUCUAGGUUCGAACACUCAGAUUGAAUAGUCUCUACUGAAGUGUUAAUAGUUUCAGCAUUCUUGGUAGCAGCAGCCUGCAAGGAAUCUAGAAACAAGUGAGCUUCUGAAACUAGUUUAUCAACUUUUGCGGUCGCUUCCUUGCAUUCCUUAGUCGAGGCAUCAACAGCGAGAGAAGCCUGUUGAUAUUGGGAAGUGGAGGCAUCAAUAGCCUUGGCUGUAGUAGAUAGGGUAGCACUAUGUUCGACGACAACCGAAUAGAACAAUGCUUUUAAAGCAGCUUCUGAAUAGGCACCGGAGGAAGAAGAUGAAAGCAGUUGAUUAAGCUUAUCGUUUACUGCUUUGAGAUGAGGUUUGGUGAUUGGCUUGUCGUCAUCAUCCUCGCUUUGCACUCAAUAAGGACUGAAAUAUGUGGAAUCGAAUUCCAAGUCCUCACCGCCCAAAAUAGGGGUUGUUUCAGUAGAUUGUGUAGGAGACAAGGGUUUUCAAGAAGGUGGACGUUCGGUUGUGAAAGUAGGUUCGGUUGUGAAAGGAGGUUCGUUUACAGGUGGAUUGGGAACAGUCAAGUCUGGUUUAGUAGUGGUAGUGGUAGUGGUUGUAUCUAUGAAAAUAGGAGUGGGAAUAGGAAUUGUAAUGAAUGGUUGAGAGGUGGUUAUUGGAGAGAUAGGAGGGAUAGAAACUGGAAGGGUGACAGGUGGAGGUGAAGGAGGAAAAGAACGAACCGGAAUUUCUGGAGUAGGGGAGCAAGGUGGAGUAUCCCUUCGGCCUGAAGCCUCGUCAUCAUAACUUUCACUCUUAGACUCCGAAGGAGGAGCGUUCUUGUCCGUAGGAGGAACGUAUUCUGAAUCCGAAUCACUAGAGGAUUGAAGAAUAAGUUUCCUAGCGGGCUUCUUCUGCUUUUUAGGUUGAGGUUGUGAAGUAGCAACUUUAUCAGUUUUUCGCUUUUUGGGGAUCUGCCCCUUGGUUGGUUUUGUGACCGGUCCCUCCUUCUGUGUGUCAGGCUUUUUACCCCUCUUGGCUGGCUUGUCAGCCUCGUCAAUGGAACGAAGCAUUGCCGGCGUAAGCUCUCUUGCACCAACAGAUGGACGCUUCUUGUAUUGUUGAAGAACAUUACUUGAAGCAGAAAUACGAUCGAGCAUAGCUUCAGGAAUAGGUCCGAUGUAUGAGAACUUGGUCAGAUCAGUGACGAUGAUUUUCGUCGUGUGAAAAGUGGCAAUAGAGGAGAGCAAGGAGUCCGCUAUUAUUGGAACACGAUUACGAUGCAUUGCCCAUUUGGUGAUGAGAGUCCAGAAACGCCAACAUGAAAUCUCAGAGUGCCUGGAUGAAGAAACCAGGCUUUGAACCAACUGUUGCCAAAUAAUGGACCCAUAAUCGAGGUUAAGCCCACUAUACAACCCAUACAACACCGUCAUGAAGGACUUGAGUGCACCGUUAGAACCAGCGCUCCUCUCAGACAAUCCUUUGAACAAUAGCGUGAAAAUACCAUUCCAUUGAGGAGGAAGGCAGGACUUCUUGAACUUGGUGACAGUUGUUAGGGUUUCAAUAUACCCCAUCUGAUAGAACAUUGUGAACAUGUGACCAGUGGUAAUGGAAUCAGGGCAUACCAGAGAUGGAUCUUGAGAAAGACCGAUUAGGGCACAAAAUCGACUCUGGGAGAUAGAAAUCUUCUCAUGGUGAAGUUCAAAGAGAAUUCUUUCAUUAGCCUUGUGGUAGAAUGCAGUAGAGUAGACAAGAGACAAGAACGAUAUAGGAACAACUUCAACUUUUGUCAGUGCGUCGACGAGUGGUGAGUAUUUAAGACACUCAACCACAUACAGCAUAUAGGGCUCAUAUACGAAUGGAGUGAGAUCAAUGAUCAGAUUUUGUUGGGCUUUGAUAGUGAGUAGGGGUUGACGAAUGGAGAUAUCGUGAACUGAUGAGGAGUCUGCCAUUGUAGUAGCUUAGAGAAGACGAUGAACAGUUGCAGAAAAUCGUCGGGUUUCUUUGAGAGCUUUUUGGAAGUGAUAAAGGCUGAGAGAGUACUACUCCAAUUCCUUAUAUACGUACAAGGAAGAGAGAGAAGAAUCUGGCUGAAAUCUUGGAUUAUCUCAACAAUAGCACCAGAGUUGAUGGGUGAACAGUUGGCAUGCCGAAGAUGACGCAAGAGAGAGAAAAACGUUUCCCUUUUUCACGCCUUUUCAUAAAACUUACUUUUUCAAAUCGUCAAACCGUUUGGUUAUCUGUUGAGUCAGCUACUACUUUAUCCCAAUCGUUUCUCCUUAUGACGCUUGAAUGUUUGUGCCUGUAGCGCUUUAAUGAUCUAUCUGAACCAGAACUGGAAUUUGGAAAAUUAAAAAUUUUUGUGCAUAGGGUGUAAAAGAUAAAGAAAUAAAACAAUAUUUUAGGAAUUAUAUGUGAUGUCGUAAUCUGACAUAAAACUCUUGAUUCUGGGCAAAAAUCACUUCCUUCAAAGUCAAGAGAGACAUUGAAGUGCUUGCUUGGUUUCCCAUGAAAUAACGAUCAAUAACUUGUUGAGAAGUUUUGAAAGGAUUCUUUUAAAAGUUAAAGAGGGUGGCUUUCGCUUCAAUUCAUAAUUUCGAUUCUUCACAUAAGACCAAAAGUGAAUGAAGUACUUGUGAGAUCAUUUUGAUCUGUUGAACAAUUAGGUGUGAAAUAUUUUAUAGUGACGAGAGAAGUAAAGAAAUCUCAAAAAAAAAAAAUAAACUGGAUCUUUUAGGAUUAGAAAAGCCUUGGUGAAAGGCAAUCUCAAAAAGAUCACUCAAAAGAAAAAAGAGAUUUCAUUGGGUAACAAGUAAGAGCUUGAAUUUUUGAAUUCACCAUCAAUUCAUUAGUGGUGUUGAACUUUGGGUUUCACUUAGUACAUAGUGGCAUGAAACUAAGAUCAUGUACGUAGAUUUUGUAUAACUAUAAACCUCAGCGGUUAAAACUGAGAGUCUUAGGAGUUAUAUUGAUGAAAUGAAUUAUAAUGGAGAAAGGUGAUGGAGAUGGUAUAAGAAGCGAAUGUACCUCUGCUUUUUAAAGAAAAGAAGGACCAAGCAGAAAACUCUAAACUCAAUUUGAGUAGAGUAAGGUAGCUAAUGAUUAGAGUGAACUUGAUAGCAUGGAUUGGGAAAACAUGAUUGGUAUAUAUCAUGUUAUUAAGGCUUCACUCAAAAUCAGUCAAGGCUUUAGUCAACAUGCAGCAACAUGCUUCUAGGGACACCUAACUAAUAAAACCUUUUACCUGCCUUAGCUUUCCCAUCGAGAAUCAUACUUAUACAAAAAUAAAAAAACGUUAGAUAAAAAAAUAAAAUAAAUAAAACAAAAAAAUAUUUUUGGAUUUUAUAAUCAUUUUUAUGAAAACAAAAAAAAUAUUUUUGGGAUUUUAUAAGUAGAAAAGAAGUAGUGAAAAAGUGUACAUAAGAGACCAGUUGAAAUGCCUUAAAAAAACAAAUAGUUUAGAAGGACCGAACCCGAAAUAGACCGAACGCUCGGUUCAUGGUCGAACUUCACCCGAAAUAGACCGAACCCGAAAUAGACCGAACGUUCGGUUCAUUUCGGUUCAUAUAGGUUCGCUCUAUUUCGCUUGUUACCUUUAUGGAAGCGAAGGCGAUUUCGGUACUGACUUGGCUUGCAUCAUUCCUAGGCCUUGUAGAAUUUUAUUGAAGCUUGCUUCAGGUAAGGCCUUUGUGAAUAUGUCUGCCAGUUGAUCAGUCGUUCUGACGAAGUGAAUUUCUACGUUACCAUCUUCGACGUGAUCCUUGAUGAAAUGGUACCUCAGUGCGAUAUGCUUGGUCUUCGUUUGUUGCACUGGGUUGUGACAAAUCCUGAGUGCGCUUUCAGAAUCACAGUACAUCGGGAUUUUCUUCAUGUUUAACCCAUAAUCCCGGAGUUGACUUUGUAUCCAUACGACUUGAGAUGUACAGGAUGCUGCAGCAAUAUAUUCGGCUUCUGCAGUGGAUAACGAAACACAGGUUUGUUUCUUUGAUUGCCAACUGACUAAUUUACCAUCCAAAAAUUGACAUCCUUCGGUGGUGCUUUUACGAUCCAAUCCAUAUCCACCCAGAUCAGCGUCUAAAAAUGCUUGAACGAAGAAUCCAGACCGAGACCGAGAGAGGAGGUUCGCUUCAGAUAGCGAAAGAUGUUCUUCACUGCUUGAAGAUGAGGUUCUCGUGGGUUGGCUUGAAAUCGAGCACAGUAACAGACAUAGAACAUGAUAUCAGGUCUACUAGCGGUAAGAUACAUCAGAGACCCAAUCAUCUAUCGAUAAAGCAUUGUGUCAGCGGCUGGUUUCUCCAAUGAUGGUGUGAGUUUGGUUCCAAAAGUCAUUGGCACUUUCACUUUGGAGUCUCCCAUCAUUCCAAACUUGGUGAGCAGAGUUUUGGUAUAUGCUUCCUGAUUAUUAAAAAUUCCUUUGGGUCCCUGUCUAAUGUUCAAUCCAAGAAAAAAGUUAAUUUGACCCAUUGAGCUCAUCUCAAACUUAGUUUCCAUCAACUUUCGGAAUUCAGCUGUUAAGCUAGAAUUCGUGGAGCCAAAGAUGAUGUCAUCAACAUAAAUUUGGACUAUCAUAAGGUGGUUACCUUCUCGCUUACGAAAGAAGGUUGGGUCAACCGAACCUUGUUUGAAUUUAGACAUUUUUAAGAAAUGUGUGAGAGUUUCAUACCAUGCUCUCGGAGCUUGUUUCAGGCCAUAGACAGCUUUGUUGAGGAUAUAACAAUGAUCGGGAUACUUCUCGUUCACGAAUCCUGGCGAUUGCUCAACAUAUACGGUUUCUUCAAGUUCACCGUUGAGGAAAGCACAUUUGACGUCCAUAUGAUAGACUUCAAAGUUCUUGUGAGCAGCGUACGCAAGAAAGAUAGGAACAGAUUCCAAUCUUGGCAUGGGAGCAAGGUUUCUUCUUAAUCAAUUCCCUCUUCCUGACAAUAUCCUUUGACCACCAGCCUUGCUUUGUUAUGAAUGACAUUCCCUUCUUUGUCCAUCUUGUUUCUGAAUACCCAUUUGAGACCGACAACCGAAGCAUCCUUUGGAGUUGGAAUAAGAAGCCAUACCUUGUUUCGUUCAAACUCAUUUAACUCAUCCUGCAUGGCUUGAACCCAGUCUGAAUGAUCAAGAGCUGAGUUAACCGUCUUUGGUUUAAUUUUGGACACGAAUGAAUUGAACAUGCAGAACUCUACUUUCGAAAAUAGUGCAGCCUGUUUCUCUUUGAUUUGAGAGCGAGUUAACACCUUUUCUGAGGAUUCCCCAAUAAUUUGAGUUUGAGGGUGAUCUUUGGUCCAUUUAAUCAGGGGGGGAAACUUUGGAUCAUAGAUACGAUCCAAUUCAGCAUUGAUUUCUUCUUCGAGUUCAGACAAAAUAUCAUCAUCACCAACAUUGGUGUUCUCCCACUCGAAGAAUGAUUCCUGUUCAUGACCAGCAUUUGUAUCCCCUUCAUUGGCCGGAAUUUCAGUAGUGCUUGUUGUAUUUGGUGAUGAGUUCUCCCCAUGGAAUGAAGAACCUUGAUCAUGAUGAGGAGAGGAACCCUCACGCCGGAUAGUAGGACGUCCACCAGAAGGUUCACUUGCGUAUGCACCUUCUGUUCCUUUGGAUUGAUCUUCAGCCAUCUUCUUAGCAGCAUCGUCCAUAACUUGUUUCAGAUUAUCAACUUUGUUUUCUUUUGCAGUUGAUUCAGAGUCAAUCGCCUUUUGAGGCUCAUCAAACAAGAGUAUGAAUUGGUCGAAAAGAUUCGAGAUGGAGAUAGUAACCUAACCAUUCUUUGGAAAUAAGUCUUGUGAUGCAUCUUCUGUGGGUUUCAACUUCUUAACAUAACUAUCGUCAAAAGUGACAUAGUAUGUUUCUUCAAUUUUCUUAGAGCGUUUAUUGAGAACUCUAUACGCCUUGGAGUUUAGGGAGUAGCCUAAGAAAAUUCCUUCAUCCGCCUUAACAUCGAACUUGUUUCGAUUCUCCUUGGAGUUGAAAAUGAAACAUCUUGAAUCAUACACAUGAAAAAAUUUCACAUUUGGUUUUCGAUUGUUCAGAAUCUCGUAAGGGGUAAUUCAAAACCGCUUAUUUAAGUAUGAUCUAUUCUGAGUAUAACAUGCAGCCGCAAUUGCAUCAGCCCAGAAAAACAAAGGUAAGGACGCGAAGCAUAGCAUGGUGUGAGCAGCUUCACACAGUGACUGAUUUCUCCCUUCAACAAUGCCAUUUUGCUGCGGAGUAUAGGGAGCUGAGAAACUGUGAGUCGUCCCUUUUUCAGCAAGAAAACUUUCAAAUUCUUUGUUUUUGAAUUCCAGGCCAUUGUCGCUCCUUAUAUCACGAACUACCUUUCUCAGUUGCAUUUCUAUCUGUUUGAUGAAGAGCUUGAGCUUUGGAGUAGCUUCAGACUUUUUCUUGAGAAAGAAGGUCCAUGUAAACCUUGAGAAAUCGUCCACUAUAACCAGAAUAUAUUUGUUUCCCCCAAUGCUUUUGAUGGACUAUGGACCACAUAGAUCAAUAUGCAGUAACUCCAAUGGUUCUAUUACCUUAGUGUUGAUAAUAGAGGGAUGACUCUGCCGACCCUGCUUUCCCAUUUCACACGAUGCACAAAGAUGUUCUUUAUCGAAUUUUAGAACUGGAAGACUUGAACAUGAUCACCUAAGACCAAUUUGUUGAUGUCCUUGAAGUUUAGAUGAGAAAGCCUUCUAUGCCAUAACCAGCUUUCAUUGGAGUGAGCCUUUGUGAGUAAACAUACUGCUAGUUUACCUCUUAUAGGAUUGAGAUUCAAAGGAUACAUUUCCCCUUUUCGCUUUGAUUUCAACAGAGUGUUGUUAGAGCUCUUUUCGACAAUUUCUGAACCUUCAUCGUCGAAUGACAAUUUUAGACCAGUACCAACCACUAGUUGUGAUACGCUGAUGAGAUUGUGUUGGAGCCCUUCAACAUAUGCAACCUUCCUUAUGGAGAACUCUCCAUUAGUGAUCAUUCUAUAGCCUUUGAUAGUUCCAAAAGAGUUGUUGCCAUAUUUCACAAUUCCACCAUUUUUGAGAGAACGAAACUCUCUUAGUUCCUCCUUCCUUCCUAUCAUGUGACGUGAGCAGCCACUAUCAAUGUACCAUUCUUCGUCAAACUGCUCGUCACGUAUAACCUACCAAAAAUUAAACAAAUUCAGGAACCCAAAGUUUCUUGUAUCCUUGUGAGCCUUUUACAGGACAUGGAAUAGUAAGAGAAAUAUCAACCAUAUAUGUGCGUUUAAUUAAAGUUGUUUCAUCUUUUCUUUUAAUGGUGAAGACUUUAAUUUUUGUUGAUUUAGGAGGACUGGGGUUUUUGGCUGAGGAACUGGAAUUUUUGAGAAUUGGAUUUAGAAGAUACAUUAGAUUCCCGGUUUUUUGAUCAGAUUUGCAGGCAUGAGGACCGAAAUUGCUAUUUCGUUUCCAUGGGAUGAGGGACCGAAACUCUCCUUUCGAUUGUUGUAGGUUGAGGGACCAAAACUGCCCUUUCGGUUGUUUUCAGUCAAGGGACCGAAAUCGCUCUGUCGGUUGUUGAUGGAUGAUGGACCGAAAGUACCCUUUCGGUUGUAAAAGGACGAGGGACCAAAACUACCCUUUCGGUUGUUAUCGGUUGAAGGACCGAAACCAUUCUUUCGGUUGGUGUUGCAGUGAAGACCGAAACUGCUCUUUUGGUUCCUUGAGUUUUCUUCUGAUUUGUUCUUCCUUUCUAUUCUUACAAAAUAAGGAUUUUGGGAAUUCCAAAAUCGUUUUCUUUCUGAGAGAUUCUUCUUAUAUCUCAGAUUUCUUUGAUGCUUUCGAUCUGCCACCUGUUUUGGAUUUCUAUGAAUGUUAGCUUUUCUUUUAGACACAUGAGCACAUCAUUCACUCUUUGUAGAAGAAGUAUCACUCGUGGUUUGCAUCAGUUUGUCCAAAGAAGGUUUAGUUCCACUUAUGCUCGGCACAUCGUACUUUGUAGCCUCAUUUAGUGGUUCAGGUAUAUAUCUACCUUUCACUCUCCAUGAGGUUUUCUGAGAAAGACCCUUCGUCUCAUCUGCGUUGUCUAUUGGGGCCGACCAGAAGAAUUCAACACAUCCACCAGCAUUGUCUUCUUUUACCAUAGCAGUUAACUUUGUAGUUUGUUGUGGAGUGAUUCCCGGCACUGUGUAGACUUGGUUUGGAGUAGUUUGAACCUUUUGAUACAUAACAACUUUAGAUUUGAGAACUCUAGACUUGUCGGUAGGGAACAAGCAAACUCAACAGAGUUUUCUGAAAUUAGGUUCUUAUGGGACAUGGGUUCGUUUUUGGCCAAUUCAGAAUAGUCUACCAAAUCUUCUAUAGAAAUUUCAGUCAAAUCAUCAUCCUCAUUAAGUUUAGAUGUAUUUUCAACAUCAAUUUUGUUUCCUGAACUUAAAUUGGCAUUCAAGGAGUCAAAUUUUUGUAUAGUUUCGGCUCUCAGUUUCAAUCUAUCAUUUUCAUCUAACCGAUUUUUGUGCAUGUCCUUGUGGUCCUCGGACUUUAUGUAGGAUUCAAUUUUGUCUAGACCUAUUUUGUACGCUGGAGAUACUUCGUCAGAAGAUACAACACUUUCACAGUUGUAGGCUUCAGCAUCGAUUUCAUCCUCCUUUAAUUCAAGGAAAGGUAAAAUCAUGCGAUGUAUCUUCUUUCCUGUUUCACAAUCAAGAUGCAACUGAGUGAUGUUAAAAUAGAGUCUCUUAGCAAUUAAACAAAAAACAUUUCUCUGUUUAAGAAGUUUAAGAUUGUCUCUUUGCAAAUAAAUAGAAUCAUCUUUAGAUCUAAUUAACUUCUUUUCCUUUUGCUCGAUCCACAUCCUUCGUUCCUCACUCUUUGAAGAAAUCCUGCUGAUUUGAUCAGUUAGGUUAGAAUUUAUGACACGGGUUUGGGUGAGACUGCUACUUAUGCUAGAGAAUUUCGACUUUAAGUUAUUUAAUUCCUUUUCAUAAUCAUUCACAGGUAUUUUUAGAGAAGCAAGAAUAUUUUGUACCUUUUUGAUCAACUCAUCACAUUCGCUGAUCUGAGCACUAACAUGCUUGGCCGCAAAACAUCUGUCCUCUUGCUCCCUUUCUUCUUCAACUCCCCCAUCAGUUGUGAAUCCUCGCAUUUUCCUUUUGCAUGAUCUUCUUUUGCCAGCAUAGCUUUUCCGUGAGUGGGCUUCCUGACUUCAUCAUCCUCCGAAUCUGUGGACCAGACCUCCACACCACCAAACUCAUCACUGUUGUUUGCACCCUGCACAAUUAAGGCAUUCAUGGUAGAGUUAUUAACAGCCGACUUCCUUUUCUUAAUUUCCUCCAAUCUACUCAGGAGGCUCGCUUCCUCAUCUUCUUCGUUUGACUUUUCUUCUUUCUUUUUUAGCAUACAGUCUUUGGCAAAAUGAUUUUUGCCUCCACAGUAAUGACAGUCAAACCCUGAGUCUCCUCCAACUUUAGCUUCCUUCUUGGACUCUUCAGAUUUUGAAACCAUCUUCGGUUCCUCCUUGAUCCUUUCGGCACUGUAACUACCCUGCCAGUUUCAGUUCUUGUUGGCUGGGAAUUUCUUCUUAAUGAAUUCUUUGGGAUUUGACACCAUCAUGGCGUAUUCUUCGCCGGUUAGAUCAAAAUCUACAAGAUCUAAUUCUUCUUCUUCUUCAACCGAACUCUUUCCUUUGGAGACAAGAGCUAAAGAACCCAGACUUGAUACCACAUUCGUUUCCUUGGAUAAGGCAUUCAUGGGAUUUUAAAAUACCCACCAGUUUUUCCAGAGAGUAAGAUUUGAACUGUUCAUGAGCUUUGACGGUUGACAUAACAGCCAUCCAUUCAGGUCUGAGGUCGUUCAUGAAAGUGACCUUUUGUUCUAUUACCUUUCUUUCGAAUCCAUGCUUUAUCAUCUUACUCAAAAGAUGAUUGAAGCGAUCGAAAGUUUGAACAAGUUUUUCUUCGUGCUUCUGUUUAAAGUCACCAAACUCAGAUAACAAGAGAGUUUGGAUAGAGUGUUCCAGAUCUUCAUCUGUGGAAUAUAAUUCCUUCAAUCUAUCCCAGAUCUCCUUAGUUGUAGCACAGGAACUCACUAAACAAAACGUAUCCGAUUGCAGCGCAAACCCUAUCAUCCGUAGAGCUUUAAUGUUUCACUGAAACUUCUCUUUUUCAUCCUGAGAAAUGUCUUUGACAUCAUUGACAAGCUGAUUGAAUUAUUUCUGUGUUUUAACAAUCUUUGAUGUGCCUGAGUGAGCGAAUGGGCCUGCAAUGAUUGCUUCCCAGAUUAGAUACCCAUUGUCCUCCGAUCCAAUCACGUAGUCUUCAAAGUGAUGCGUCCAAACUUCAUUGUCUUGUGUAUACAAGAUUGGUAUUCUUGUUGUAGACCCUAUGCUGUUGGAGAUAUUGAUCGGAUUGGUUUGUGAAUCAUCCAUGGACAUCGUAGAUACUUUUGAUCGAAAACCUAUAAAAGAUCAGACUUGUAAUAUAUCGUUAGGGUUAGAUCAACAAUUAAUGAGAUACGUCAAUAAAGAGUGUAUGAAUUACCCUAAGAUCUUCUUCAAAACUCUUAGAUCAAAUAGAUCUUUCACAAGUGCAACAAAAGUAAUCAAACAGGUUAAGAUCAAUACAAGAAUGAACACAGAAUAUAAUCAAACUUAUGCUUAUGAUUCAAAACUGAGUCACACCUCAGCAGAGCUCGAUGAAGAACUUCUGUUGUAGAGGCGAGCUAGGGUUUACAGAACGAUUAAGUAAAAGCAACGAAAGCGAUCACAAAUAAGACUGCAUGCAUGCACACGACUGGACAAGCCCAAUACCGGCAUUCAAACUGGGCUAAGGACUGAGCCCAUGACGCAAUCUAAUAGAAUCUACACAAUCCAUAUAAAUUGUGUCGAUGAAGUGCAACCCAAAUGGACAAUGCCGGAUCGGGUCAAGUACAUACCAAAUAUAGUUAUGGACUUAGACAUUAAUUCAACAGUCUCCUACUUGGAUAAGUCUAAAAACUAUUAUUGAGUAUGACUUCAAAACCUANGUCGAACUCUGACCUUUGUCAAGGACUUGUCCAUUAGAUAAGGGAUCAUAUAUUCCUCCAUUCUAAAUAUCAUAUGGACUGAGACAUAGAUUAUAAUCAUUCUCUCUGUCCAUUUGUUGUUUCCUAAUUUUUCGAUUCAUGAUGACUGACUGAUUGAACAAAUCAAAUCAGUCCUGGCUUGGCCAAUGUAACAAACCGUUAUUUCAAACUUAUGUAAUAGUGUAGGUCAAAUUGUUCUUCUUUUUAAUUAAAUAAAGAGAAAUUUUGGCAUACUAUGUAUAUUUACAUAAUUGACCCUCAAAAAUAAAUUAUUAAAUAAUCUCAAUUGGGUUGAACCAAGUGAUAGAGAUUGUAACAAGGUUUCCAAAAAUAUAAGGAACACUAAAAUCCGAGUUAUAACGAAGAAGUUAUGACCAAUCGAAAAUCCGCGACAAAACCGGCAAAACAUUGUUCAGUGUAAAAACUGAAUUUUUAAUAAAAGGCUUUCUAGCCUUAACAAUCUAAAUGAAAGUUAUAGUUUAUGUUAAACCGAGAACUUUCAUAAAAAGAACGCCAAAAUCUGACUUCGUAUGAGGAAGUUAUGAUUUUUCGAAGUUUCAGUAUAGCAGUGUACAGCUAAAAACUCGAAAUAAAGAUCGAGUGGUUUUUAGCCGACAUGACCUAAACGAGAAUUGAAGGUCUCGUCAUUAGUAGUACAACGGUAAAAAGACAGACAAAAACGGACGUCGUAUGAAGAAGUUAUGAAUUUAUAACGGAUUCACGUCCCGAUCUGUUUAAAAUAAUAAUAUUAAAAAUAAAUUCAAAAUUAGCCGACGAAGUCAAAACGAAAGUCGUAGAGUAUAAUUUUAGCUACGCGUGCAUAUAAAGAACGUCAAAAACGGAGUUCGUAUGCAAAAGUUAUGAAUUUUACAAGUUUUGGCAAAAAAAUAAAGAAAAAUAGAAAUACCCGGGAAAAUUCGCAUGAACAGUAGCGCCACCUCACCCCUCGCAUGCGAGCCUCCACGUGUCGGCUGCUGAGUGGACCGAAGUCUCGCGUGUCACCUCCUGAUUCGGCCACUUCUGCGGUCCAAUCCCACUCGGACAGCCUCGCAAGGAGACACACCGGGGAUGCUCCUCGCACACGCCUCGCACCACCCUCGGACACCCCUUCGCACGUGGCUUCUUUGCAUUGGACCGAGGGCUAGACCAAUCCGAGCCUACCACCUCCGAACCGAAGCUGCUUCCCUUCGCAGAAUGUCAGCCUCGCAUAGCCUCGCACAAGCUUCGGAUCCGAGGCUUCGGCCUAUAUAAGGCAUGCGAGGGUUUCCGGAUUUUUUACACUUUUCACCCCAAAUUUUACUCUCUUUCACUUUUUCCACACCCUUAAGCUUAUAUACAACCCUUAAAGCCCCGGUAUCAAGACUCGAGCCCGAAGUAAGCCGUGAAGCCCCGAAAUUCUCGAGAAUUCAUCCUCUCUCCUGUCAAAACUCUGCCCGAUUUGAGCCGGUUUCUCGACAAAUAAACUCCUUUUCGUGAAACGAAACCCUGUCCGAAUUACCACCUACCAAGUGAGUUCAUACCCCCGUAUUUUCAUAAUUUCUACUGUUUUAAGGGGGGAAAUACAAGUAUAACACAACAACUUUGUGUUAUAAAUAAAUGAUUUCAAAUCACGAUAAAAUGAUUUUAAAGCAUCGAAAAUACUUCAAAUUUUGAACUCUUUUAUAAACUUAUAUUUUUCCCAAAUAUACAUAUUUGUAUAUAUAAUUUAAUAUAAAUAAGAUUUAAAAGGCUUAGGACUAAUAAUUCAUUCUAGGUCCUUUUCCUUGUUUGGAUGUGGACUUAUAGUACCAGUUAUUUGUCCGAAGGUCGUUCAAAUUUUACUUAUUUAUAAAAUUGUAUAUGUAUAUAAAAUUAAAAGUUAUUUCAUCAGUUUAAUCACCCUUUGUAACAUGUUGAGCAAAGGAUUACAUGCAAAAAUAGUUAUUUACCAAUUCAUAAAGUACAUAUAAAUUAUAAUAGGUAUAGUUUAUGAUACAUAGAGCAAUAAUUCAUAUGAAUACAUUGUUUUACAUGCAACAAGGGUUUUAACUCAAAACAAAUCAAGGGUUUACACUUAUCAAAUACAUGUUCGGGAUACUAAGUCAAGAACAUAAUGUCAAUCAUUUAUCUCAGAAUGAUUGGGUUUUCAUAACUAAUAUACAUGUAACGUUUAUAUGCUUUUUAUGAGACAUUCAAUUCAGGUUGUUUAGAUUCAGUCUAGACAACCAAGGUAAAGCCCUGACAUUAUAACCAGAAUCUCCAGUCCGGGGAUCGAAACAAGUUGUGUGUAGAUCUAUAUCGGGAUUGACAACCCCGCACUCAGGCUGCUAGCUACAGUCAGGCAUACAUGCCAAUGAGUGGCAAUUGUUAUCAACAGUUUAAGCGCUCAUCAGGCGUUUGUUUCAGGCGUUCAUGUCUUAGUAUGGUUAUAAUAACUCAUUAAAAAGAUAUUAACAACACGUUAGUGUAUAAACAACUAAACGUAAGUAUAUCUUCAAAGUACCAGUUUACAAAAUGCAAAGUACAAUGCUAUACUAUAGUUUUCAAUAACAGCUGGUGAAGCCAGGCACACUCUCAAAUACAAGUUUUACAAAUACAAUGGUUUACAAAUAAGACGGUUUUAUAGGAAUAAAACUACUUUUCACAUACCACAGAAAAUAUGGGAUUUUCUCGAAGUGUUUUCAUAUUCAAAAUACAAAUACACCCAUUCAAAACAUAAAGACUUAUGUACUCACUCAACUUAUUGUUGAUACUCUCUUUUCAAAUUACUUGUAUUAUCAGGGAAAUAAUAACAGGUACUCCCCGAGCUUUUUGAGAAGAUGAAGCCAUUAGGAGUCUUAUCUUCUUCCUUUGUAUAACUGUUUUGGUUUCAAUAUACAAUGAUUGAACACAUGUAAAUAUUACACUUUUAAAUACAGUGGUUGUUUGUACUUUGAUUACUAUGAUGCAUGUGUUGUGGUACUACAAAUGAAGUCCUCCACCCCCGGACGUUUCCGUCGUCUGGUUUGGGGGUGUGACAGAUUGGUAUCAGAGCAUUGUUUAUAGUGAACUCAGUAUAUCAAUCCAUAAAAGAUAUACAAACCAUAAAUACCUUGGGGCUGAGAGCUCUGACUACAAGUAUACUUUUAAUAAUUCUAAGUAUACUAACCCUCGUACCUAUAAGUACAUAGUCAUAAGAACAUAAAAGUAUUUGGGUGUUGAACAUUACAGUUAAACCCGGGCAGUUAUGUAAUCAUAUCUAGAGUUAAUAUAGCCUAAUCAACUAUUUUGAUUUCAGAUAUGACCAACAUGUGUUUGGGAGUAAUAGUAGUGUUGUGACAUGUCUAAAACUUACCAACUACCAAAGAAACUCUAAGAACAGAUCAUAAAUACUAUAAGAAUAUUAUAAACAUCGAUAUGCUUUAGUUUUCUUUUCAGGAAUUUCUCAUAACCUUAUUCUCGUACAGACACAAUGGCAGGACAUCAUCCACCAGGGGACCCUUAUUUUCCAAAUCAUCGAGGAGCCCACAGAUAUCGCUUUUAUCCCGAAGGUAAAAGGAAUGGAUAAACUUCGACUCAUAUGGCUUGUUCUACUACUUGUUGAAUCAUACACAAAUGCACAUAUUAUAACAUCGAGUUACCAAUGCAUUUUCAUGCAAUCAAUGUACAACCAACUCCUAGUAACAACUCAUAUCUCUAGGUUUGAAGAAUAUAAGAUAUUAUCAUCUCAUGAUCACUCGUGAUAAAAUCAUUGAAAUGAUUCCAAUGAGCGCGAGUUGAAUCCAAUACUCAGAACUUAUGAGCACUCAUGAGUGUUGUAGCACCACCUUGUCCAACAUCUUAGACCUCUACAAGCCCAACCCAUGACAGUCUUGAUUUAUAUCUACUUCCAACAUAUGACCGACUGUGGAUGGUUUGAAUAACUUAGUCAUUUAGGAAGAACGACCUAGUUAUGCUGUAAGCCAAAACAUGCAAAAUUGAAUGCAAGAAUAAAUGAAUCUGAUAUGGUAUGAAAACCUAUGAAUAUAAAUAAAACAUUUUCUAUUUAUCACCAUACUGAUUACUCAUUAUUCAUUGUUUCGGUUUUAUCAACUUUAUACUUGAAUUAAAACACUAGGUGUCCCAUGCUACAAGCAUGAACAUUAUGUUUUCUAAACAAUAGCUUUGCCAUACACCAAGUAUGAACUCUAUGUUUGUCUAUGAUCCUUUUCUUUGUGAACCAGAUCAAUUGAACAUAAUUUCAAUUAUCCUCUUUUCACACUCCCACUUCCUUGUCUUAAAUGUAAGAAUUCCAAAUUCCUAUCAUUUAUCGAAAUCUGUUAGAUUUAAACUUAUAUGCACUACCCUCUUGUAAUGAACAUGUACAAAGUCACAAAGACUUGUCAAAAAUCAUUAUAGGGUAUUACAAUGAAGGUCUACUCCAUGGAAACAAAGUCAGGGUAUUCCAAUGAAGGUCUACUCCAUGGAAACAAAGUCUUAUGUUCAAAGUAUUCAUUGCUUUGAACAUUCUUCUUGCAUUAAGUUUCCUAAUCUUACACAGAUAACUUCCACCUUCCCACAUUCCCAUUUUGACUAUCACUUCUGAACAAGAGUUGACUCUUUUCAGAAUAUGUCAAUAUGGUCCUUCCAAAAUUAACAACAUACUUCCAACUGUCCCUGAGCAACCAAUCUUUGGUAAACCUUAGAUUCUCCUCGACGAUUGCUUAAUCCUUUUAGUCAUAUAUAGUUCUAGACCUUUUCCCUUCUUAAUGCCACAGGCAUUUGGAAAUUUUUAGAAAGGAUGAAUAUACACAUGUAAUCGAUCCUAUAUCUGAAGCAUAUGGGACACGGUUCAUGAUGUCUCACAUAAAGACUAAACUAGUCUUUUGUUAUAAUAUUUCCAUUUCAAUUUGCCAAGUUCUCAUAAUUCAGAUUAUGAAAAAGGAUGUCGUAAUCAUAAUCGAAUUUUAGAACGCAAAUAAUGGACCCAUAUAUAAAAUUUUAUUAUGUUGAGCCAUUCCAACAUAACAUUCAUAUAUAUGCUUGACUAAAUUUGAUUAAAAUCUCACGAUCUAAGCUUAUAGAUUUGAGAACAACUAUAAUUUCCUCUCCCUUAGUUAUAGCAAAACAACUUUUUUCCCAAUUGAAACCUUUUGUUUUCUAUAAUUAACAUUGCUAACUUGCAACCUUUAUCAUAAUUAUCAUGCUCCCACUAACAUGAUGAUUAUUAGCAUAACACUUAUGCUCCCACUAGCUUUGACAUGUACUCAGAAAUCAGUUGAACUUCUAAAAAAAAACAAUACUUUAUUGAUGUUCUUACCAAAUUUCAGAUUUAUGAUACUUGAUUACUUUGAUAAAACUUUAUCAAUAUCAUACACCUUAUCUUAGAUAGCUCACAGGUGUGUCUAAACAAUUUUUAGGAACUAUGAAAAAGGAUGUCGUAAUCAUAUUAUGGAUUGUUUAGACCUUUGCCACUUCUCACAAGUCCACGUUAGUGUGCCGGUUAACCACACAUGCUCCACUAACGACUUUGAGAAUGCAAAUAUCACAAUUGCUAUCUAGCUAAAAUCUACUUAGUGAAAGUGUUUCCUCACCAUCAUUUUCAUGAAUCGGAGAGAAACCUUAUGACACUUAGAUUUAAUGGUGUAUGUGUUCUUAUCCAUGUGAAUUGUCAAAACCAUAGUCACAAGACAAGGAUAAUGACAAAUCCAAACUCAUAUGGAUUGAACUCAAUCUUAAUUUCUUGCCAUCUGGCAGCUCAAGGGCCUGCCAUUGCUUCCAAGUUCUUGUGCAGCCAAUUGAGAGCUCUAAGAAAUCAUAUGCAAAGCCAACUUUAAUUGGAAUGGGCACAGAAUAUGUCAACACGAUAGGUUAUAAACCUCAAGUCGUGUGCUAGUGAAGAACUUCAGUUUUUAUUCUGGAUUAGUUCUUGAUACUUUCUAGACCUUUAAGACUCCCACUAUCCUUNCCUCUUGACAUAUAAGACUCCCUUGUCAAACAUCCAAGAGAUAGUGCGGAUUCUAAUCAAGACAAACACUUCACACAAUUGGCCUUAGUUGGUCUUUGUUUUAUCCAAAACAUCACAACUUACCAAUUUCAAAUGUACAGGAGUAGAAAACUUUUACUCUUACAUUUGACAAGUGUUUUAAACCUUCUUUAAGACAUGUCAUUCAAGUUAAAAUCUUAGAGUAUAACUCUAAGAAUUGUUUUUGGAACGAAGUAUGAAUCAUCUUCUUGAUUUAACCACUUCAACAAUUCAUAGCUCCUCUUCUUAUCUAUCAAAAUACACUUAGAGGAUGAAUUAUGAUAAGGUCUCUUAAUCAUUAACAUGAUCAUAUAACAUGAUACUAAAGUACUCUCCUAUCUUUUCAGAUUUGAGAAACUUUUAUCCUUCUGCCUAAUUUGAUUCUUCUUAUUCGUUCUAUCAUACCUUCAAAUUUUUUUCAAUGUUUAAGAAUUAUACUUAAGCUUGUAAGUAUAAUCAUAUUUACUUCACCUUAGUAAAUCAUGACGAAUAGUCAUAUCCAUCUUUUGUGGUGGACUUUGACAAGUGCACAAGAAAGUGUACUUGAUCCCUUAGUCCUUCUGUUGAGUCAUAUAUACAUGUGAACACGGAACUAGUCUUAAUUUUCCAAAGUUGAAAAUUCUCACACAUCACACUCAACACCUUGUAUGAUUCCAAGUUUCGGUCCAAUUGAAACUUGGGUGAUGAGAAUAUUUCCUUAUUUGGUAAAUUUAGACACUACCACAAAUGAAAGAAUCAAAUUCAUAUUUCCAAUAUUGCUAUAAACAUACAAACAUCAAGUUUUCAUGAAUGUCAUUGUAAGGAGAUAAAAAUAAAGUAAAACAAACUUCUAUUUAUUUUAAAAUACGGAAAAAACUUUUUUCCUUACAAUGUAACUUGAAAUGAAAACUAUGUUAUUACAUGUUUCCUAGCAAUCUAUCAUAACUCCUAAGAAGUAGCUGAAGAAUCUGAUCUUCCAUCAAGCGAUAGAAAUCCAUCUUCGCGGUCAGCUUCAACAUACUCUUUCUUUAAGUUUCCUUCAUUUUUCCUUUGAUUCUUAAAUCAUGUGACCCAGUCACAUCAUGUAAUAAGAAUACCAGAAUAGAAACUUAAUAGAGUUUGAUAGUGGAUUUUAUCUGAAGUAGGGUCAAACUUAUUGACUUUAACAUCCUUAGGUAAAAUUGGCAGCUUCGCAACUAAUGCCCCUUCCUUUGGCAAUAUAAACAUAUGGACCCUUUGGUAAUGGUAUCGGUACUGUCACAGACUUAGCUUUUGUCUUUACCAUUUGGUCAACCGAGUUGACUAUGGCCGAUCCCUUUCCAUUGGGAAGAGAAUACUUUUUCUGGAUUUCUAGUGUUUUCAUUAUCAAUGUCCAUAAAGUUUUAGGAAGUUGAUCUUAGCAUAUAGAUAAGAUCAUUAAGGGUCUUGUCAUAGAUUGUUUCAUAGGAGUCCCAAAGGAACUCACUAUGUGACUUAGAAAGUGACUGAACCACCAAUUUUCUCAAGACUUUGACACCCAACUCUCCCAGCUUGUCAGUAUGUGAGUUCAUCUCCAAGAUGUAAGCACACCUCGACCUUGCCUUUCCAAUAGGGCUUGAGUGACCUUGAACGAGUGGGUUAGGGAGAAUAAUUGGAUGAGGUGGAGGAAGUAAAGUUCCAAGAGAUUUUGGAGGAUCAUAGAUGUCUAAACUAGACAUCUUUUCGGAGAUAUUCAAGAUAGUUGAUUUAUGUCCUUAAUAUAACACCCAAUAUGAAAUAUUAUGGCUAGGACGCGACAAACUAUUUUAUAACUUGGAAGAUGGAUUUCGUAAUCCAAGCUAUAAAAUAUUUGAAGGUAGGUGAAUGACGAUUCACCAAUUUCCACCAAGAUAAACGAAAUGUAUUAUUAGGUUUUAAUUGGUUUUGAAACUCCUAGAUCUUUUGAGAUUCAUUGAACUGUUCAAUGGCAUGUUUCAAUCUCGAGUGUGCCCUUCAGGUUUUGUGACUGGGAUGCCGAGGAUCACAAAACAAGGUGUGAAGUAACCAUGCAAAUUACUUGGUACCCUUAAGUGUUUACCCCUCAAUCGAUGUGCCGGUUAACCACACACGCUCCAUCGAUACUAUGAUAAACAUUAAGUUACCCUUUGCCUACCUUGUUAAAUACGAGUUAGUGUGCCGGUUAACCACACACGCUCCACUAACCGACUUAAACAAAGUGCAAAGUGUAAUUUCAUGGAUUAGCACCUUAUUCACAUUUUCCUAAGUAACUAAGAUUGGGUAUUUAUAAAAGGUUUAGUUACUUAGUAUUUAUCAUUAAUACUUUUAAUGAAGGGAGAAUUUUAGUCCUGUCAAACCCGUUCGGCUAACGACCCUCCACCAGUCAAGCAAGCGGUGGGUGAGAGUGGACACCCAUUAAGUUGCCAUUUUAUAGGCAACAACCUUAUACCCACCUUAUAGACCGGCUUCGUGAAUGAGGCGUACUAGCGGUAAGACUGACUUUACUCUUAUACAUAUAUAUAUUAUUAACUUAUAAUAUUAUAAAGUAUAAGGGUUGAAUUUUAACUUUUAAAAUUCUAAGGGCUAACUUGGAAUUAAAGUAUUCAUAAGUGAAAACUUUACAAAUUCCAAAACUUGAGGGCAAGUUUUGAAACUAUUCAAAACUAAUUAAUUCCAUAACUUAUGUGUUUAAAGUAGUUUUAAUUAAAAAAAACUCUUCAAGUUCCAUAACUUGAGGACAAGUUAUGGAAGACUUUAAACUAAUAAAAGAAUGUAACUU